AGGGUUCGAUCUGGCUCAGGAUGAACGCUAGCUACGGGCUUAACACAUGCAAGUCGAGGGGCAGCAUAUCGAAAGCUUGCUUUGAUGAUGGCGACCGGCGCACGGGUGAGUAACGCGUAUCCAACCUUCCCUAUACUAGAGGAUAGCCCGGCGAAAGUCGGAUUAAUACUCUAUGUUCUUCGUAGAAGACAUCUGAAAUGAAGCAAAGGUUUACCGGUAUAGGAUGGGGAUGCGUCUGAUUAGGUUGUUGGCGGGUAACGGCCCACCAAGCCCACGAUCAGUAGGGGUUCUGAGAGGAAGGUCCCCCACAUUGGAACUGAGACACGGUCCAAACUCCUACGGGAGGCAGCAGUGAGGAAUAUUGGUCAAUGGACGAGAGUCUGAACCAGCCAAGUAGCGUGCAGGAUGACGGCCCUAUGGGUUGUAAACUGCUUUUAUACAGGGAUAAAGUGACGUACGUGUACGUUUUUGUAGGUACUGUAUGAAUAAGGACCGGCUAAUUCCGUGCCAGCAGCUGC
rnacentral:rRNA from 1 species